CAGCCGCCGCGGGAAUACAAAGGGGGCUAGCGUUGUUCGGAAUUACUGGGCGUAAAGCGCACGUAGGCGAAUAUUUAAGUCAGGGGUGAAAUCCCAGAGCUCAACUCUGGAACUGCCUUUGAUACUGGGUAUCUUGAGUAUGGAUGAGGUGGGUGGAAUUCCGAGUGUAGAGGUGAAAUUCGUAGAUAUUCGGAGGAACACCAGUGGCGAAGGCGGCUCACUGGUCCAUUACUGACGCUGAGGUGCGAAAGCGUGGGGAGCAAACAGGAUUAGAUACCCCAGUAGUCCCUGUCUCUUAUAC
rnacentral:rRNA from 1 species